GACAGAGGGUGCAAACGUUGUUCGGAAUUACUGGGCGUAAAGCGUGUGUAGGCGGCUAUGUAAGUCGGAUGUGAAAGCCCCGGGCUCAACCCGGGAAGUGCACUCGAUACUGCGUAGCCUGAGUCUCGGAGAGGUUGGUGGAAUUCUCGGUGUAGAGGUGAAAUUCGUAGAUAUCGAGAGGAACACCGGUGGCGAAGGCGGCCAACUGGACGAAGACUGACGCUGAGACACGAAAGCGUGGGGAGCAAACAGG
rnacentral:rRNA from 1 species